GCAUACAAACUGAUCCAUUGGAACGCAAAAUUACAACUUACAGAUUUAUGCAAGAGGGAUGACUGCAAAGUGCUUUGCAUGAGUAGUGUAAGAAGCUGAAAAUUGCUCCUGUUGUAGCUGUCAUAGACACGUUGUUUUCUUUGAGGACCCUGGUCUUGAUUGUGAUUCCGUUGUGGUAAGUGCCUCUAUCAAUCACAGGGAGAUCAUGUCCUUGCCUGAGGAUGUGCAUAUAAAGAUACCCCAUACAGCAGCAUGCCCUGAAGGAGCUUGAUGGUAAUUUCAUGGGUGCCAAAUAUAUUAAUUGAGAUUCUCCUAGUCUAUCACAGUAACUAUGAUGCAGAAACAAAAGACUUGCCUGCCUUUCAGAUCUGCAAGCUGUUGAACUCUGAAUGGAAGAAUAACUCAGUUCAUACUCUCCCCUCACCAGCUUCUCUUCUUCACUGGCUGAAAUAAAGGAAAAAGUGAUCAAAAGAGACAGAGGGUUCAAGGGGGAACAUUGCUUUAGACUUGUCCAUAUAAGAAAAAACAAGUAGAAAUGCGUUGGCCAAGGAAGGCACAUGGACCCUAACUGAGGAGCUGCUGAUGUGAAACAUGCACAAGAGUCAGACGUGAGCAGCAGCAGCCUGGUGUGGAGCUUCCUCGAGCAUGGCCACAGCCUUGUAAAGAAACAUCACAGCCUUGGAAGUUAUGCUUGGUACAAUUAGUCUGCUCUGUGCUUUAGGGUUGUUCUUCACUGUGGAAGUUUAAUAAGCUUGAAGGAGGCAUAGUGUCUGCACUGCAGCCUGCCUAUUCCAUUUAUUCUCUUGCUUUCUGAAGACAAAACAAUGCUGUGUGUAUAUUCUGUUAUGAUAAUAUGCUAAGCAAAUUUCUUUCAAUGACUGAAAAUGAAAUAAUGUUAAUUGCUAAAGAGAGAAAAAUAGUUUUUCAUAGCACCAUUUAAAACUGUUUAACUAAAUGGAAUUAACAAUAUAUAUAUUAUUUUUUUGAAAGUUGUUUUCUAGUUCAAAUCUAUCCUCUGUUUUCUGCAAAUUUGUGUGCAUCUAUAAAAUCUGUCAAGUCUGGUUUUGUUGACAGGCAAUAUUGUUCUUCAUUUGGAAGUUUGAUUUGCUUCCUAUGAGUUUUCUUGAUAUAUAGUACAAGUGCAGUUAUAACUUAAGCUUGAAAAAUCCCACCCUCCAAGUGGAUGUA